AUUCACUAGGCUAUAGAAGAACUAGAGAAUAAAUAAAUCUCUAAACAAGUAUCUGGUUCUCUGCCCUUUAUUGCUUCACAAAUUAUCACACCAAAGAUCUAUUAUUUAUGCAUUACAGUACAUCAGAUAUGCAGGAACUGAUUAGAUGAAAAACUUUGUACUUUUCUUUAUUCAAAAGCAACAACAUUAAGCAUUCAAAAUUAUACAGUUUUCCCUAAACUUUUUAAAGGUCUACUAGGACAGAGAAGAAACUAGUCCACAAUAGCUAUGGAUGGCCAUUAAUACUAUGAUAUUAAUAAAAAUUACUCACAGUACACAGACAACAAAUUAAAUGUCUAUCAGGGUAAGUUUGCUUAAGUAAAUGAUGAGACAAACAUAAUUUAAAUCUAGUCAUUGACAUCAGAAAACAACUAUUACAUAUUAAAUGGGAGACAAAUGGAUCCUAUUUAUGUAAAAUUGUAAGAGAGGUGCUCAGAAAGAUGUUCACCAGAAACUUAACAGUGGUUAUCAAUGAGUAGUGAGAUCUGGAGUAAUGUGUUCUUUCUUCCUUUGUACAUUGCUAUAUUAUUUGACUUUUUAUUAAUAUACAAGUAUCAUUUUCACAUAGGUAGUUUUUUUUUUUUAAUAACCCACCUACAGAAAGACAUUCAUGUUCAUGGAUUGGGACAAUGUUUAGAUGACAAUUCCACCCAAAGUGAUCAACAGAUGCAAUGCGCCCCUUACCAAAGUCCCAAUCACAUUUUUUACAGAAACAGAAAAACCCAUCUGAAAAUUCAUAUGGAAUAUUAAAGGACCCCAAAUAGCCAAAGCAGUCUUUGAAAAGAUGCACAAAGCUGGAGGAUUCAUACUUUCUGAUUUCAAAACUUCCUACAAAACUACAUAGUCAAAACAGUGUAGUUCUGGCAUAAGAACAGAUGCAUACCAGCACUUUGUGAGGCCGAGGCAGGCGAAUCACCUGAGGUUGGGAGUUCGAGACCAGUCUGGCCAACAUGGUGAAACCUCUUCUCUACCAAAAAUACAAAAUGUAGCCAAGUGUGGUAGCAUACACCUGUAAUCCCAGCUACUCAGGAGGCUGAGGCACAAGAAUUGCUUGAAUCCUGGAGGCAAAGGUUGCAGUGAGCUGAAAUUGCACUACUGUACUCCAGCCUGAAUGACAGAGAGCAACACUCUGUCUCAAAAAAAAAAAAAAAAAAAAAAGAACAUGCAUAUAGCAAUGGAACAGAAUAGAGCGCACAGAAAUAAGCCUUCAAGCCGGGCGCGGUGGCUCACGCCUGUAAUCCCAGCACUUUGGGCGGCCGAGGUGGGCGGAUCACGAGGUCAGGAGAUUGAGACCAUCCUGGCUAACAUGGUGAAACCCCGUCUCUACUAAAAGUACAAAAAAUUAGUUGGGCGUGGUGGCAGGGGCAUGUAGUCCCAGCUACUCGGGAGGCUGAGCAGCUGGGAUUACAGGCACCCGCCACCACACCCAGCUAAUUUUUGUAUGUUUAGCAGAGAUGGGGUUUCACCGUGUUGGCCAGGCUGGUUUCAAACUCCUGACCUCAGGUGAUCCACCUGCCUCAGCCUCCCAAAGUGCUGGGAUUACAGGCGUGAGCCACUGUGCCCGGACUUUUUUUUGAGACGGAGUCUCGC
rnacentral:lncRNA from 10 species